rnacentral:rRNA from 1 species
AACGAACGCUGGCGGCAGGCCUAACACAUGCAAGUCGAGCGCACCCUUCGGGGUGAGCGGCGGACGGGUGAGUAACGCGUGGGAACGUGCCCUUCUCUGCGGAAUAGCCUCGGGAAACUGAGAGUAAUACCGCAUACGCCCUUUGGGGGAAAGAUUUAUCGGAGAAGGAUCGGCCCGCGUUGGAUUAGGUAGUUGGUGGGGUAAUGGCCCACCAAGCCGACGAUCCAUAGCUGGUUUGAGAGGAUGAUCAGCCACACUGGGACUGAGACACGGCCCAGACUCCUACGGGAGGCAGCAGUGGGGAAUCUUAGACAAUGGGGGCAACCCUGAUCUAGCCAUGCCGCGUGAGUGAUGAAGGCCUUAGGGUUGUAAAGCUCUUUCAGCUGGGAAGAUAAUGACGGUACCAGCAGAAGAAGCCCCGGCUAACUCCGU